GAUGAAGACUCUUUGUCUGAUUGCUAUCCUUCUAAGUUUCAUCUGAUGGAAUCAGAAAGUAUCAGUUUGGAGAUACAAAAGCUUUGAAUACAUGUGAACAAUAUAUGGAGGUGUUGUCAGGGGUUUUGGUUACAUGUCCUUGGAAAAUAGUGCAUAGAAAGAUGAAAUAUCAAAAAGAUCGCCUGAAAAUACAGAGCCUUGGACUUUGUCUCUAGCAGCAGACUAAGAAGACUAAGAAGUCUCCUUUUCCAUUUCUACCAUGUUCUUGUGAUAUAAAAGGUUACAUUCAGUGAAUGCAGAACAGAUGAAAGAAAGAAAAAAAGGUUAUAAAAUCAUGUCAUUGUGGGCAAAAUGCCCAUUUAUAGCAGCACAGGUCAUCCCAGGAAAAAAAAAUCUUGCUACUGGACCUGGAAAUUCUCAAGAAAUAUUAUGAUAAUAGUUGGACACAAUUUAGUGAGACCCCUUUAUUUUACAUUCAUCCCCAUCCUGUCCAAUGGUUCCGUAAAAAAUGCCAUGUCAGGUGAAACGAUAUUACAGGGGCUGAAAUCCCAUGGCAACAAUAUCAAAAAUGGAUAUUUGGCCAGAGAGUGUUACAGUGAAUUUUCUCUGUGUCAUGGCAUAAUUAGGGUAUAAAUUGUCAAUGAUAUUGUCACCUUACCUGAAAUGGGUGUAAUUACAUCCAUUUUAGUAUCGGAAGCACUGGUUCUCCCCCCAAAAAAGUGGCUCUUUCUGUUCUCUACACUCUUGGAAGUAUACAGCCAUGAGGCUUCCUAAUUAUAGAUUAUGGUUGGUUUAUAAGGGCUGGCUGAGUCCAACCCACUUAUUUUACAGAUUAGGAGACUGAGUACCUGAAAGAUCAUAAGAUCUCCAGAGGGCCUUAAGGUCAUCAAGCUUAGGCCUUACAUUUUGGAAUGGAAACCAAGAGAAAUGAACUGCCCAAGAUUAUAAGCUAUAAACAUCAGAGUUUGGAUUUAAGCUCAAAUCUUCAGAAUGAAGAUCAAUACUAUAGACCUUGUUUGCCUUACUGAGUGAUGACAAAGAAUGUUGAAUAUAAAAGGUAGCUUUGAUGUAUCAUUUUUGUGUUGUUUUAUUUGAUCCUCAC
rnacentral:lncRNA from 1 species